rnacentral:rRNA from 1 species
GACGAACGCUGGCGGCGUGCUUAACACAUGCAAGUCGAGCGAGGCCCACCCCUCGGGGUGGUGUCCUAGCGGCGAACGGGUGAGUAACACGUGGGCAACCUGCCCCCGGCUCGGGGAUAACCCCAAGAAAUUGGGGCUAAUACCGGAUAUGACCGCUGACCGCAUGGUCUGGUGGUGGAAAGAUUUAUCGGCUGGGGAUGGGCCCGCGGCCUAUCAGCUUGUUGGUGGGGUAGUGGCCUACCAAGGCGACGACGGGUAGCCGGCCUGAGAGGGUGACCGGCCACACUGGGACUGAGACACGGCCCAGACUCCUACGGGAGGCAGCAGUGGGGAAUCUUGCGCAAUGGGCGGAAGCCUGACGCAGCGACGCCGCGUACGGGAAGAAGGCCUUCGGGUUGUAAACCGUUUUCAGGAGGGACGAAGCCACUCGGGUUAACAGCCCAGAGGGUGACGGUACCUCCAGAAGAAGCCCCGGCUAAC